AACGAACGCUGGCGGCAGGCCUAACACAUGCAAGUCGAGCGAAGCCUUCGGGCUUAGCGGCGGACGGGUGAGUAACGCGUGGGAACGUGCCCUUUGGUACGGAAUAGCCCCGGGAAACUGGGAGUAAUACCGUAUGUGGUCGAGAGACGAAAGAUUUAUCGCCAAAGGAUCGGCCCGCGUUGGAUUAGGUAGUUGGUGGGGUAAUGGCCUACCAAGCCGACGAUCCAUAGCUGGUUUGAGAGGAUGAUCAGCCACACUGGGACUGAGACACGGCCCAGACUCCUACGGGAGGCAGCAGUGGGGAGUCUUAGACAAUGGGGGAAACCCUGAUCUAGCCAUGCCGCGUGAUCGAUGAAGGCCUUAGGGUUGUAAAGAUCAUUCAGUGGGGAAGAUAAUGACUGUACCCACAGAAGAAGCCCCGGCUAACUCCGUGCCAGCCGCCGCGGUAACAC
rnacentral:rRNA from 1 species